GCGGUUCCACCCCCUUUUGAUUCCUUCUUUUGGACGGUCCAGCAGUUGAUAACCGAAGUAUUGUUAUCGGGUCUCGUCACAUGGUUGGCGUGGUUCAUAUCAUUUGGUACUCAGAGCCAUCUUCCUAAGAAGGUUUCGCCUAUCCUUUAUCUUUAUUUUUGAGUCAAUCUUUGUUUUCGUGUCUUUGUUUUGUUUUUGUUUGGUGUCUAUUGUUGUUGAGUCUUCUAGUCUUUCGUUUUGUUUAUUUAGAGUCAGUCCGUAAACAAAUAAAAAAAAGAAAACAAAAACAAAAAAAAUCGAAAUUUAUUUUUUGUUUGAAGUUUCUUUGAGUC
rnacentral:lncRNA from 1 species